rnacentral:rRNA from 1 species
GUGUCAGCAGCCGCGGUAAGACGGAGGGAGCAAGCGUUGUCCGGAAUCACUGGGCGUAAAGAGCUCGUAGGCGGGAAUCUAAGUCCGGAAGUAAAUCCAUCGGCUCAACCGGUGGCUCAUUCUGGAUACUGGAUUUCUUGAGGACAGGAGGGGAAAGGGGAAUUCCUGGUGUAGCGGUGAAAUGCGUAGAUAUCAGGAGGAACACCUGUGGCGAAGGCGCCUUUCUGGACUGAUCCUGACGCUGAGGAGCGAAAGCCAGGGGAGCGAACGGGAUUAGAUACCCCGGUAGUCCUGGCUGUAAACGAUGGAUACUAGGUGUAGGGGGUAUCGACCCCCUCUGUGCCGCAGCUAACGCAAUAAGUAUCCCGCCUGGGGAGUACGGCCGCAAGGUUGAA